AGUAGGUGUAAAAGGGAUGGUGCAGUAUUCUAGUCGGUCCUCCACUUCUGAAGGCGGGCCUAAAAAUCCGCCAAAGGGCACAUCGAUGAAGUUCCUGGUGUUGGCUUGAGGCGCCCAGCCUUGGGUCAAUGCUGGGAGUUAAGGUUGUAGGGCGAUCCACAAAGGCAUGUGGGCGUUGACCCUGCUUCCGCGGAGGCCCAUUAUUGUGCCCCAUUAAUCGCGCUUAAUGGGGUACGAAAUGGGGUAUGAACCUGCACUAUAAGGUUAGGACCCUUAUUUGCAGCGUAGCCUGCCUUGAGUGGUGUUUAGGGGAUUACAAUUAAAAGUAAUGAAUCGGAUGGCCACUGAGGAGUUACUGUUGACAUUGUAUGAAAUAAACACUGCAAAAGAGGCUAGGAAGUGGUUAAAGACUGUCGAGGAAAACUCCUAGACUGUUCGUUGGACACUUAAAAGGGAUUGUAGUGCGGACUAAGUGGUAGUCCAGUCUAGCUGUGGUAACUCAGCUAAGUACGGUUUAAUGGGGAACCACCGAUGUGGCAACACACGGCACUGUACUGGGAAAACCUACUGGACCUAAGCCGCAAUAUUUACCUUUUAAGUGACCAUCCCUACCUACAUAAUA
rnacentral:sRNA from 1 species